rnacentral:rRNA from 1 species
ACUCAAAUGAAUAGACGGGGGCCCGCACAAGCGGCGGAGCAUGCGGCUUAAUUCGAUGCAACGCGAAGAACCUUACCUAGGCUUGACAGUUGGGGAAAACUGGCAGAGAUGUCAGGUCCGCAAGGGCCCCAAAACAGGUGGUGCAUGGCUGUCGUCAGCUCGUGUCGUGAGAUGUUGGGUUAAGUCCCGCAACGAGCGCAACCCUCGUCGUAUGUUGCCAGCAAGUAAAGUUGGGGACUCAUACGAGACUGCCGGGGUCAACUCGGAGGAAGGUGGGGAUGACGUCAAGUCAUCAUGCCCCUUAUGUCUAGGGCUGCACGCAUGCUACAAUGGCCGGUACAAAGGGCUGCGAUACCGCAAGGUGGAGCGAAUCCCAAAAAGCCGGUCUCAGUUCGGAUUGGGGUCUGCAACUCGACCCCAUGAAGUCGGAGUCGCUAGUAAUCGCAGAUCAGCAACGCUGCGGUGAAUACGUUCCCGGGCCUUGUACACACCGCCCGU